rnacentral:snoRNA from 1 species
GCACGGUGAACUUGUCCCAUUCCUGCUGUGUGGUGGAGGGAUGGGGUCAAUCAGUGCUAGAAGAACGCAGUGAUAAUCCAGAUGGCACAUUUUUCUAAAUGUGCUGUCUCUACAACACUGCUACACCA